ensembl:lncRNA
CUCAUAGAAGCAGGGGGAGGAGGGAUGGGAUAGGGGGGUUCCAGAGGGGAAACAGGGAAAGGGGGUAACAUUUGAAAUGUAAAUAAAUAAAGUAUCCAAAGUCUUAAAAAGAAAAACUUACCUGAAACUUAGGAAAAAAAAAGAAUAUUGUUAGGUUAUGUUUUCACAUCCCACAUACUUAGUAGUAACCAUUUUGGAAAGCAUAGGGCACACAACAGCAGUCUAUCUUUGCAACGCUGCAAGUAAAGAACAUAUCUCUUCACUUUUAGAAACACUACUAGGAUUCCUAAGAUCCAGCCAAGUGGAAGACCACUAGCUUAGAAUGACAAAGAUAACAAUAAAAAACAAAACAAAGCAAAAAAAAAAAAAAACCCCAACUACCUGUUGUGUAUUUUUCAUAAACUUAAUAUAGCCUAAUGGUCAUGUUAGGAGAAAAUUUAAAGGUUCUUCCUCAAAAUUUACCUUUGUACGAGGCACAGAGGCUAUCAAUCACAUAGGAAAAGCACCCCAAAGCCAAGAUCUGAAACAGGCAAUACCCACUGGGGGCCUUACAUUGCACAGAGUCUUGUACCUGACUGUAGGGGUUUCACGAAAUUAAAACUGCAAGACAAAGACAGAUUACCUCACAGAGAAAUACAAAGUCCUUACUACAUAGAUGUGAGGAUGCGUGCGAAUGUGCAUGGGUGUGUAGCAUUUUGAUACGUGUAAAAGCGCAUUCGUGAACAGGACGUUAAGGGCUCUGGAAGAAUCUUUAAUGCAGAGCUCACCUUGCUUUGCCCCGUGCAGUGUGCCAUCUCCAGUUGCAUGAAAGGCUUGCAUGCUAAUCUACAGAUCUGGGUCACAGUUUUCAACUUAAAACUCCGCCUUUUACAAACAAUCUCGGAGCACAGGCAAAAAUAUAUGAAUGGUGAGUUCGUUAUAAAACUAACUUUUCAUUAGCCUCAUUCUGAAAUCUAUACCUUAUUCUAUUUAAUUUCAACGUAAAGCCAUCGAGAGCUCUACUAGGAUUUAUUUGAAAUGUAGCGUCUAGUGUCGCAUGUCAAAAAGACAGCAACAUUUCCGCAUAAACUCCCACCUUUUUUCCAUUUUGCUUCAAACGUUCAGAAUAAGAGCUCGUCUUUAAGGUGGAGCUGAGCUUGCUUGUAAUGAGUUAUAGAUGGUUUAGUGAUAAAAUCUGGCUUUCUGGAACAAAUGGGUGUUCGAACCUGAUUUUAUUAGCGCGGUCGAAAAUUGUGGAACUAAAGCAAGGAAAUUUCUGCAUAUUGCCACAAUCCGAGGGCCGUAUGGAUCAUAAACUUUUCUAUUUGUAUUUUACUGGUGGACAUGAACGGCAUGAUCUCAUCAGGAAAAGAAGGGGACCCACAGCUGACAUGUGGGGACUGUACAUCUUGCUAGGAAUGUCAGAUAAAGGUGAAGCUUUUAAACAAGAGGCCCCUUGAUUUAGUGCCUUUAAUGUGCCCGGGAAGGAAUGUGUUCUGUGCAUCAUUAGUGUGACAGGGUGAAGGGGCAACUCGUGUCUUCUGUUCCUGUGGAAAGAGGAUGAAUCUGGCACAGCUCUGAUGUCAGAACCUCCAUCACCUUUCUCACAGAUGAUGUAGAUUUUAAUUGUACUCAGGGCCGCCUCGUAUCGCCCCAGCUCCUACGUGACAUUGAGAUAGAUGAAGCCAUUUGUUGGCAUUAUCAGAGCCAGCUGUGUGCUUGGCUGCGGCUACAGUAGGCAUUUUUAUCUCAUGCAUAAUCUUCUCAUUGAGAAGGGAUCACAAGCGUCGGAACCAUAUGGUAAAUAAUUUUAUUAUGAUCAAAAAAGGACUCUUGGAACUAGUUAAACAGAAGAGUCCUUGAAAUUCAAUCAGAAGAACUUUGAUUUUCAUGUCACGCCAUCGCCCUAAAUUAAUUGUUAGUGCUGCCACAUGCAAACAGAACCAAGAUUCCCACCCCGUGCAAAAGGAGGAUCAACUAACCAUUAUUUUCUGCCACUCGACACUUGUUUCUAUUCUUCUCAAUUACGGGAUCAAUAUCGGAAGAGGAAAAACCAGGAUUUCCAAGCCUAAAGCUGGUUUCUAAUUAAAAAUGGUAAUUUUAAACAAUGUUCUAAAUCGCAGAACAACACGGGAGAUGAGGCAAGCUCCGGUGGAGAUCCUAAUUGCUACUCUUAAAAGCAGAAAAGACAGGCUGUAUCUUUUUCCUUUAAGGGAGGGAGUCUGUUUCUUUGUUUUGUUUUGUUUGUUUUUGAUACAGAGUCUCCUGUGGUCAGGCUGGCCUCCCGCUCACCAGGUAGCUCAGAAUGAUCUUAAACUUCUGAUCUUCCUUAAUCCACCUCUCAUCUGCUAGGAUUCCAGGCCAUCACCACCUGCACCAUACCCAGCUCAAGACAGUCCAAGGAGUAAGAGUCUGUCUGUCCUUUUGUGGUGGCUAUACGUUUAGCCUAUUUUAUCAACAGGAAGGACCAAGUGUGUCUUUUCCACACCGAGGAAUGUCUUCACAUCCCAAGGAGCUGCCUGGAUCUGGGCUUCCAUGAUUAUUCUGGUGCACUUUAGAGAACCUGCAAUACUGUCUCAUGCUGUCUAAUGAGGAUUAUCCAAUACGCUCUCUGAAAUUUUUGCUGACUGGUUUUGCUUCAGUCUUGGUAACAUUAUCCCUAUCCACUUUCUAUUGGCAGGGAAGGCAGGGGGCAGGGCCUGGACUUGACAGACCAUCCCUGCGAUAUAUUACAAUUAGCUAUGGCUCAGUCUCCUUCCAUUUAUUCAACUAGUGGGAGCAUGUAACUCCCUGGAGGUCGAGGAGUUGAGAGCUUUCCUGGUGUCUUUUCAGAACACCAACCCUCUUCCCUUGUUUAAGCUGGAAUUUUAUGAAAAUCUCUACUGAGUAAGUUAGUUUGCCUUAUCCGCUCAUUUGCACUCAAGGUAGGUUCUGGGUGAUGGAUUACCUUGUCAGCGGCUCACCACAGACCAAAUGGACCUGUGGGAAGAGAUAGCACAUGAGCAUGACACAGGAAAUCAUAGAUGUCAGUUUACACAGUGAACAACAGUGAGGACAAGAUUUCCAUUAGGAAAUGCAGAUGCCUUCUAAACUGGCACUGGUGUAUACUUUUGAAAGAGUAAUACUGGAAAUGAAAAGAUAUGUUUUUGACUAUACACAGUGAGGUUUUUCUCAGUUCCAAGGGUGAAUUACAUAAAUUAGCAAAACAAAACAAAACAAAACCAAAAUGUAUAGACCUUGAAACUGCUGGGCCUGUUAAUAUAAUCUGAAUUUCAUAGUCUUAUAAUUUACAACAUGAAGGAAGUGGGAAGGAAGGAAGGAAAGGAGGGAGGGAGAAAGAAAGCAGGAUAGGAAGAAGGGAAAGAGGGAGAGACAGAGGGAGGAAGGAAGGAGGGAAUGACAAGAGAAGACAAAAGAAGAGGAAGAGAAAGGAAAUUCGAUGGAGGUUUCUUUUAUAUGUUUGUUUCUGCUUCUGUGUUUGGUUUUUUGAGACAACAGUUUACCAUGCAGGCCAGACUGGUCUGGAACUCACUCUGUAGUCCAGUCUGGCCUCCAGUGCAUCCUUUUCCCCCUGAGGCCCCCUGGGUGCAAACAUGUCCUACCUCACCCAGCUAAGUUUUACAUAGACUUUCCUGUAAGACUUAGAUUUGUGACAGUGUUUCUAUCCUCUCUGAGGAGCUUGGCAACCUGAGAAGUGACAGAGUCAGGCUCACAUGGCCAAGGAAAGAGUAGCCACUGCCUCACUGAGCAACUCUGGCUUGCUUAUCAUUAAAGCCAAUGUUUAAAAAAAACAAACAAAAAACAAACAAAACAAACAACCAAAAAAACAACCAAGGGGGUUGGGGAUUUAGCUCAGUGGUAGAGCACUUGCCUAGGAAGCGCAAGGCCCUGGGUUCGGUCCCCAGCUCCGAAAAAAAAAAAAAAAAAAAAAAAAAAAACAACCAAAAAAAAAAAAAAAACCUGAAUUUCACAGAUAGGUCAUAUCAUGAAUUAUCCACAUCAACAUUUUCCUCACUUCGGGGCGUUUUGAAAUUUUUACACUCUACCUAAGUAGGCGUUUCCAGGAUAGUCUACAUGAUUGUAAAAGCCCCCCCCCCCCCCAUGGUUCAAAUUCAACUUAGAGAAAGUCAGUUCUGGGUUUCAGGAAUCCCUCCUGUAUCAAUGGGAAAUAAAUUGCUUUGUCACCUUUCCAAUCCUCAAAUCUGGCAAAGAGAAGUGCCUGGGCCUUGUCAAGGACCGCCAGUGAAAUCAGAAGGAACCCAGAAUUUUAAAGCUCAUUAGCAUUUCUCCCCGCUCCCCAUUUAAGCUCAAAUCCCUCUCUCCAGGCAGGGGUCUGAAUAAGCAAACACGCCUGUCCCUAGGGAACAGCACUCACAUUUUUCAGAUAAGGACUCCGCUCAGUUUGGGGUCAAAUUAUACUGGUAGCAAAACCCUAUGAGAGCAAACAAGGUUUUGGAAGAUUCAGUCACUCUAGUGAAAGCUGAUUAUAAUUGAUGAACGACCAGCUCGCCCGGCCACGACAGGCUGGCUGCCCGGCCUUUGCUCUCUGCCAGUUCAAGCCUUACAAGUGUGAAAUAGCCAAUUACUGGGAUACCUAUUGAAAGUAAUAGGCCAAUGAGCAAAUUGCUACUAUGGGAUGCCGUAGCGGUGUAGAUGGAAGGGGGCCAAGAUAAAGUUCUGCCCUGAGCAGCUGCUCCCACCACAGAUUGCUAAUGCUAUUGGAUGACCAACGGAUGAGAGCGAAGGUACUUUGCCAUUCAAACUGCAAGUGUCCUGCCUUGUAUUGACUUAAAGUUUAUGAUGCAUGAUACCAUCUUGUUACCCGGGGUCCUAAUUUGCAGGAAUAAAUCCUCCUUUUAAAAAGGUAGUUAAACAAUAAGGAGAGUCACGGCCAUAGAUUUCGUGCAAAAGCAUUAAAUACAAUUUUUUUUUGCAGGGAAUGGAAAGUCAUACAGUGUGCAGGGUGUUAAUAUUUUGCCAGCCAUUUGCUAUUGACAGAACAAUUUGUCUUGAUAAAGGACAGUGAAGAAUUCCAAUCUCUUCACUGUCACCACAUUAUCAGCAGUAAUAUAUGACUGCAUCUAAAUAUGAGGGUGAGAACUGAUCCAGCCGAGAGCUCCUGCUAAUUUGCCUGUAAAUAUAUCAUGUCCCGGACAACGAGCGCGUGGCACAUUAGCCGUGCCGUUGCAUAGCCUAUUUUUGUGUGAAAUUUGAAGUUUUACCGUGUUUAAUGGAAUAUGCGAUAAUGUUUCCUUUUGGAAGUAGCACGCCUCUUUAGGAAGAAUUUAGCGAUGGUUUAGGGACCAUUGGCUUACUGCAGAGAAGAAAGGCUCGACAAGGGUAAAUUCCAAACCUGUAAAAGAAGCGCAGCCUCUCAGAAUUUACUACCACGUCGUCCUCGACUCUUCUCUCUCUCUCUCUCUCUCUCUCUCUCUCUCUCUCUCUCUCUCUCUCUCUCAGUUUUCGCACUGCGGACAUUGUAACAGUGUGCACCUUUUUGUAGGGUUAGAGGUCUGAGGAAUACUUAAAUGUUCCUUUGGAGAUGGAUCUAACAAAACUCUGAAAUAUCUGAAGGGCACGUUGCAGAAGAGUCCAAUCAGUGGUCACGGAGCGUGAGUGGCGCUCAGGGAGAGAUUUGAGCCCACUUCUCUCCAGCCUAGAUGCCCUCCAAGCUCAGCUCAUCGAGGCCAUGGGAGGCGGAUGUGUAGAAACCAGAGUCACUUGGGCACAUACUUUCUCUGCCAUAAUCCCAAGAUCCUGUACCUCUGGAAGUCUCAAAAUAAGAAAGACAAUCAGAUCCCCCAUUGCUUAAGAUCUGCACCUUGAGUUUGCUGGUAAAAUUCCAGGAAACUCUUCAAUGGUGCUUCGCUUUCUACUUAUCUUUCUUCAACCCCUUCCCAAGAGAGAAAGAAGAGCUUAAAGGACCGCUGAGGCAUUGCUCAAGAGAGAUUUGUAUAUAUUCCUUUUUGGAUGUGAGCUGUGGGAAACUAAAGUACCCUGCUGUCUCCAGUAUACGUUAUUUCUCUCAUAAAUAAUAUUUAAGGGACCUAUGGAAUGUGUUAAAGAAAACCGUAGUAUUUGUAAGUUAAUCGUCGAAAAGAAAGAAAAACAAGCAAAUGAAUUCUAUAGCCUUGCCCAAGAAACAGCAGAGGUCCUAGUCUUCACGCCAGUGAGCGAGACAAAUAUUCUCAUUUAAGCCAAAAAUCGCUUGAAUUACUUUCCACUAUAAUAAUCAGGGCAUUUGGUUUUCCUCUCUUGGUCUCCUCUCAUGGGAAAAAAAGAAAGCACAGGCAAAGAGUUGAGUCUCACCUUUAAGAUCAGGAUCUUAACCGGCACCCUUUGCUUGCCUUUACUAUCGGGGCCACAAGGUGUCACUGUUGAAUGCAGGACCUGCACAGUUUGUUGUUGAAUGUCUCUGAUGCAGCUCCCUGAGCAGUACAGGGAAGCUUCUCCCGGUUACACCAGCCUCUGCUCUUCUAGAGUUUACUCUGCCAACUGUUGGGUUUCAGACUCAUAUCACAUCAGAGAGACCAAAGGCUUUGCUUCCCGGAUCUGUGUGAGGAUGAGUAUAUCGUGAGAUAUCAAUUAAUCUUAUACACAUGCGCAUACACAUGCACACUCCUUCCUGUGCAUAUAUAUAAGGCUUAGGUCUGAAGUUACCAGCUGUUGCCAGUUUUUAACUAUUACUGCACGACCGCCUAAAGAUGGAGCACGGAGCUUCUGGGUAGCCUUUCCCCCUUGCUGGUCCUGCCAUAAGUCACCCUUUGGGGGUUUAGCAUCUCGUUUGCAGAUAACACUCAAUCCAUCCAGAAUAUUCCAUUAAGAAUAUCAGUUUGAAAUGAUGCUUCAUUCUUUUUUUUUAGAAUACACAUAUCUACAUGUAUCUACAUAUAUUAUCUUUAAUCUCAAUCUCUCUCUCUCUCUCUCUCUCUCUCUCUCUCUCUCUCUCUCUCUCUUCUAAGUAUUCUUGUAUAAACUGUCUUCCUUAGUGACUAGCUAUAUUGGUGGGGCAAGGAACUACUUUGGACAAGAAAAUGAAGCUGGGGCUUCUGUUUCUUGCUGGUGCCACCUGGGACAGUGGCGGCCUACUGUUUUACAUUUAAAUAACGGAGAGAAGUACAUACAAGAUUGAACCAGUCCCUAAGGUGAAUUGCAAUUCUCAGUUUGUAAGGAAAAUUACCAAACCCUUGUAAGUUUCUGUUUUUCUUGCUAAAUGUACUUACUAAUGAAGCAUUUUUUUGUUAUGAAACAUUUUUCCGUAAAAAUAAUUUUUAUGGUUCAAAACUCCAAUUUUAAUUUGUCAUAAAGGAAAUUAUGUGAUCUAAUGACUACAUUUAUUAUACUUAUUAAAAAGCUUUGUGAGGGAGGUAAAAAAAAGUUUCUACAUGCUAUCAAAAGAACCUCGUUGUAUUAUUAAACAAUAAUGGGAAGUAAUACUUUCUCAGAAUUUUUGAUGAGGAAUCCAUGUUCACAAAAUCGAAACCAGUAUCAUGCCCAAGGUUGGGGGCGGGGUGUGCAAAGAGCCUGUACACACAGGAAGCAGAAUAUAAACAUGGGUUAGUAUAUUUUAUUAGAUAAAUUUUAUGAGCAGAAUUUGCUGAAGUCAUUUUAAUAAUUGCCAGAUUCUCCCAGAUU